GCGAGGGGGAUAACAGUGGGAAACGACUGCUAAUACCGCAUAAUGUCUUCGGACCAAACGGGGCUUCGGGCUCCGGCGCAAAGAGAGGCCCAAGUGAGAUUAGCUAGUUGGUAAGGUAACGGCUUACCAAGGCGACGAUCUCUAGCUGUUCUGAGAGGAAGAUCAGCCACACUGGGACUGAGACACGGCCCAGACUCCUACGGGAGGCAGCAGUGGGGAAUAUUGCACAAUGGGGGAAACCCUGAUGCAGCCAUGCCGCGUGUGUGAAGAAGGCCUUCGGGUUGUAAAGCACUUUCAGUUGUGAGGAAAAGUUAGUAGUUAAUACCUGCUAGCCGUGACGUUAACAACAGAAGAAGCACCGGCUAACUCCGUGCCAGCAGCCGCGGUAAUACGGAGGGUGCGAGCGUUAAUCGGAAUUACUGGGCGUAAAGCGCACGCAGGCGGUUUGUUAAGCUAGAUGUGAAAGCCCCGGGCUCAACCUGGGAUGGUCAUUUAGAACUGGCAGACUAGAGUCUUGGAGAGGGGAGUGGAAUUCCAGGUGUAGCGGUGAAAUGCGUAGAUAUCUGGAGGAACAUCAGUGGCGAAGGCGACUCCCUGGCCAAAGACUGACGCUCAUGUGCGAAAGUGUGGGUAGCGAACAGGAUUAGAUACCCUGGUAGUCCACACCGUAAACGCUGUCUACUAGCUGUGUGUGUCUUUAAGACGUGCGUAGCGAAGCUAACGCGCUAAGUAGACCGCCUGGGGAGUACGGCCGCAAGGUUAAAACUCAAAUGAAUUGACGGGGGCCCGCACAAGCGGUGGAGCAUGUGGUUUAAUUCGAUGCAACGCGAAGAACCUUACCUACACUUGACAUGCUGAGAAGUUACUAGAGAUAGUUUCGUGCCUUCGGGAACUCAGACACAGGUGCUGCAUGGCUGUCGUCAGCUCGUGUCGUGAGAUGUUGGGUUAAGUCCCGCAACGAGCGCAACCCUUGUCCUUNAGUUNGCCAGCCUUAAGUUGGGCACUCUAGGAGACUGCCGGUGACAAACCGGAGGAGGUGGGGACGACGUCAGUCAUCAUGGCCCUUACGUGUAGGGCUACACACGUGCUACAUGGCAUUUACGGAGGGAAGCGAGACAGUGAUGUGGAGCGGACCCCUUAAAGAAUGUCGUAGUCCGGGAUUGGAGUCUGCAACUCCGACUCC
rnacentral:rRNA from 1 species